CAGGCUGGUACUGGCCUGUGAUUGGUGAGGAGCUGCCGGUGUGACUCCUUCCCGGGGAAGUAAGCACGAAUGAGGAGUGGGUUGCAGGAGGUACUCGGGUCCUAUUUGCCUGUCCUGGGCUUCGGGCUAGGUGCUGACCCCGCAGCCCGGUACAGCGCUGCAGCAUUUAAAGGGUCGGCAUGACUCCAUGAGGCGAACAGCUUCUCCUUCCAAACUGACACCGUUCACUGUUGUCCCUGCAAGUCCUGACUGACCUUGGCCUGAAUGCGUUUAUGUGUCUCCUGGUUUCGACCUUUGUAUACCUCCUGAAGAACUAAAUCAUCAAAUCAAUCUUGGAUCAUACAAACAUGAUGAAAGGUGUCAGUCGUAUCUGGAUAAAUUUGAUCAAAGCGAUUAUUGAAGGCCAGAGACCAAAUUCAAAAGUUGUCAAGUUAUACAUGUUUGGAGCACUUUUGACACUUUUCACUGCUUUCCUGGCAGUAACAGAGAUGGUACAUUCAAUAUUGCUUCCUGCAGAUAAGGAUGAUGCUUUGAAACCAACGAAUGGUGUAUUUGCCAGACGGUCAAGAACUACACGAAGUUAUCUUCUAAGUAAAAGGCAGAACCCAUGCAGAUUGCAUGCCUCCUAAUUGGGAUGAAAUUCGGUUCCAAAUCGAAGUAUGAAUAACAAUUGUACACAUGUCCCAUUUGUGUUUCUGUUUUUGUUUGGGGAAAAAAAAAGCCACAGUUUAAUGUUUGGAAUUUAAAAAUGCUAUACAUUCCUUGCCUAGAGAAUAUAAUAAAGUUGGGAAACACAUUUGUUAAUUGUUGCAGAAGAUUUACCUUUGUGACAUUGAUAGUUUAAAUAAUGGUUGGGGGGGUGCAGUAAGGGGAAACUGGUGCUUUGUGAUAAUUUACAACAAAUCAGUGAUAGACUUGAUGUGAUUUGUUACAGCACUUUCUGGCUGGUUUAGCAAUUUCUGUAAACUUAGGUUCUCAAAAUUCCUGUUAAGUUUGCAGAUAAUCAUGAACUGUGAAAAAUCCCUUGAAUAUGCAUGAUUUUGAGCUAUAUGUAUAGUACACAGUUUCAGGAUGAUGCUGGUAAAGGGUAUCUUGCUGUGGAUCUAAAUCACAAGAACCCUGUCAUAUUGAUCCAAGAAUAAAUGUAUUUGAAUUGCAA